CCCGAUGAGUAACUCCAGGAAUAACCGGGUGAUGGUGGAAGGGGUCGGGGCCCGAGUGGUGCGCGGCCCGGACUGGAAGUGGGGGAAGCAGGACGGAGGCGAGGGCCAUGUGGGCACGGUCCGGAGCUUCGAGAGCCCCGAGGAGGUGGUGGUGGUGUGGGACAACGGCACCGCCGCCAACUACCGCUGCUCCGGGGCCUACGACCUGCGCAUCCUGGACAGCGCGCCCACGGGCAUCAAGCAUGAUGGAACCAUGUGUGAUACCUGCCGCCAGCAACCAAUCAUUGGCAUUCGAUGGAAAUGUGCGGAGUGUACAAAUUAUGAUUUGUGCACAGUUUGUUAUCAUGGAGAUAAACAUCAUUUAAGGCAUCGCUUUUAUAGAAUUACUACACCAGGAAGUGAACGGGUUCUGUUAGAGUCUCGUAGAAAAUCUAAGAAGAUUACAGCCAGAGGGAUCUUUGCAGGUGCCAGAGUGGUACGAGGAGUGGAUUGGCAGUGGGAAGAUCAGGAUGGAGGAAAUGGACGUAGGGGAAAGGUAACAGAAAUCCAAGACUGGAGUGCAUCAAGCCCACAUAGCGCGGCCUAUGUUCUCUGGGAUAAUGGUGCUAAGAACCUUUACAGAGUUGGCUUUGAGGGCAUGUCUGAUCUGAAGUGUGUCCAGGAUGCCAAAGGAGGUUCUUUCUACAGAGAUCAUUGUCCUGUGCUAGGUGAGCAGAACGGCAACAGGAAUCCUGGUGGAUUGCAGAUUGGUGACCUGGUCAAUAUAGAUCUUGACCUAGAAAUUGUACAGUCUUUGCAGCACGGUCAUGGAGGAUGGACUGAUGGCAUGUUUGAGACUUUAACUACAACUGGAACUGUUUGUGGCAUUGAUGAAGAUCAUGACAUUGUAGUACAGUAUCCAAGUGGCAAUAGGUGGACCUUCAAUCCUGCUGUUCUCACUAAAGCAAACAUUGUCCGAAGUGGGGAUUCUGCUCAGGGCGCGGAAGGGGGCACCUCACAGUUUCAAGUGGGUGAUCUUGUACAAGUUUGUUAUGAUCUGGAAAGAAUUAAACUUCUACAGAGAGGACAUGGAGAGUGGGCUGAAGCUAUGCUCCCAACUUUAGGUAAAGUUGGCCGAGUACAACAGAUUUAUUCAGACAGUGAUUUAAAGGUGGAAGUUUGUGGAACAUCUUGGACAUAUAAUCCAGCAGCAGUUUCCAAGGUGGCAUCUGCAGGAUCAGCCAUCAGCAAUGCAUCUGGUGAAAGACUCUCCCAACUCUUGAAGAAAUUAUUUGAAACCCAAGAAUCUGGUGACCUCAAUGAAGAAUUAGUUAAGGCUGCUGCCAAUGGAGAUGUUGCUAAAGUGGAAGAUUUGCUAAAAAGACCAGAUGUGGAUGUGAAUGGACAGUGUGCUGGUCACACAGCCAUGCAAGCUGCUAGUCAGAAUGGACAUGUUGACAUUUUGAAGUUACUUUUGAAGCAAAACGUGGAUGUAGAGGCAGAGGAUAAAGAUGGAGAUAGAGCCGUUCACCAUGCAGCUUUUGGAGAUGAAGGUGCUGUAAUAGAAGUGCUGCACCGAGGCAGCGCUGACCUGAAUGCUCGAAACAAGCGCCGGCAGACACCACUUCAUAUUGCUGUCAAUAAAGGUCACCUUCAAGUGGUGAAGACCUUAUUGGACUUUGGCUGUCAUCCCAGUCUCCAGGAUUCUGAAGGUGAUACCCCUCUUCAUGAUGCAAUAAGUAAGAAACGUGAUGAUAUCCUGGCAGUUCUUCUGGAAGCUGGAGCGGAUGUUACCAUUACAAAUAAUAAUGGAUUUAAUGCUCUACACCAUGCUGCACUAAGAGGAAAUCCCAGUGCAAUGCGUGUUUUACUGUCUAAAUUACCAAGACCGUGGAUUGUGGAUGAGAAGAAAGAUGAUGGCUAUACUGCCUUGCAUCUGGCCGCCCUUAAUAAUCAUGUAGAAGUGGCUGAAUUGUUGGUACAUCAGGGUAACGCGAACCUGGAUAUCCAGAAUGUGAACCAGCAGACUGCCCUACACCUUGCUGUUGAGCGGCAGCACACCCAGAUUGUGAGGCUUUUGGUCCGUGCAGGUGCCAAAUUAGAUAUUCAGGAUAAGGAUGGGGAUACUCCUUUGCAUGAAGCUCUGAGGCAUCACACUUUGUCUCAGCUGCGUCAGCUUCAAGAUAUGCAAGAUGUGGGGAAGGUCGAUGCUGCCUGGGAGCCUUCCAAAAACACGUUAAUAAUGGGACUUGGUACCCAGGGGGCCGAAAAGAAGAGCGCAGCAUCUAUUGCCUGUUUCUUGGCGGCUAAUGGUGCUGACCUUAGCAUUCGCAAUAAGAAGGGUCAGUCGCCACUCGAUCUCUGUCCUGAUCCAAGUCUCUGCAAAGCACUGGCAAAGUGUCAUAAAGAAAAAGUCAGUGGUCAGGUUGGUUCUCGAAGUCCUUCUAUGAUUAGCAAUGAUUCUGAAACCUUAGAAGAGUGUAUGGUGUGCUCAGAUAUGAAGAGAGAUACUCUUUUUGGCCCAUGUGGACAUAUUGCUACCUGUUCUUUGUGUUCUCCACGAGUUAAGAAAUGCCUCAUCUGUAAAGAACAAGUUCAAUCCAGGACAAAGAUUGAAGAAUGUGUGGUAUGCUCUGACAAGAAAGCAGCUGUUCUUUUUCAGCCCUGCGGACACAUGUGUGCUUGUGAGAACUGUGCCAACCUGAUGAAAAAAUGUGUGCAGUGUCGGUCAGUCGUUGAACGAAGAGUGCCCUUCAUCAUGUGUUGUGGAGGGAAAAGUUCAGAGGAUGCCACUGAUGAUAUCUCAAGUGGGAAUAUUCCAGUGUUACAGAAGGAUAAGGAUAACACCAAUGUCAACGCAGACGUGCAGAAGCUGCAGCAGCAGUUACAGGACAUUAAGGAGCAGACAAUGUGCCCUGUGUGUUUGGAUCGUCUGAAGAACAUGAUUUUCCUUUGUGGCCAUGGAACGUGCCAGCUCUGUGGAGACCGAAUGAGUGAAUGUCCCAUUUGUCGAAAGGCUAUUGAACGAAGGAUUCUUUUGUAUUAACUAAGAAACUCAGUGUGUUUUAUUAGCUAAAGUAUUUGGUCAUGAGAUCUUAGUGAGCUUUUUAAGUGAGUUGGAGGUUCUAAUGAAUUAAUUUUUAAUAUCAUAGUUUCUUUACUGGAGCAUAAUUAGACUGUAAAUAUACCAGAACAACAACAACUCUACAAAACAGUGUUUGAAGCUGCGUUUUUUUGAUUUUUUUUUUCCUUUCAAUUUGAAACAUCAAAUCCAUGUAAUUCAUAGGUAAUUUACCUUUGAAUUCUAAGGGGGAAAAUCCUUUAAGGAUGUCCUGUUAUUUUUGUUUUUAUUGCAUUUUCUCUUAUAGUUUAUAAAUUCGUUAGAACUCAAAGGAUAUACUUCCUUAUGAUCAGCUAUCUUUCAGUUUAUCAUGAUUUUACACAGUGAGUUGACACAGGUACUCAGAAAAGUCAUGCAUCAAAUGAAAGUGGCAAGUCAAACCAUUAUGUCACGUAGGUUAUACGAUAAAAUUGUAGUACAAGUUCUGCAUGGUGGAGGGAAUACUGAAGAGAGGAUUCUCUUUUUAAGAUAACAAAAUUAUCCAACUGAUUGUUUUUAAGUUCUUAAAGUAAAUGGAAAUGUAGAAUGAGAGAAUAGUGACUUUGCAUUUAACUUAUUUUCUGGAUUCAAAGGAAAAUUGUUCAACUUGAAUCAAAUUGUCAGUUUCAAAAUGGCUGAUAGACUUGAAAAGGAAAACUAAGCAAUCAUAGUGGGGACCUAGAGGGGGUGGGGGAGUCAUCCAGUAAAGGAGUACCUAUUAACUGACUGCUAACAGUUGCCUUUCUUAUGUUAAUUUGUACACUGUUUUGUUCAGCCAGCUUUUUAAAAAAAAUCUGUGAGAAGUGUGCCUCAGUUUCUCCUGUGGUUACUUAUCCAGCUUGAUCUGACCAGUGAAAUGGUAUUGCCCUGUUUGGACCUCUGAGGUUCAGUUUAGCUUUUCUAAUGUGCUGAGUGGCAGUGAUCCGAGAAGGGUGAUGCGUUGUUCAAAGGCAGUGGUCCUUCUCCUCUGCGUCUGUUAAUUCUGCCAGCUUUGCUGAGUCUACCUUCAUCAUAGGCCUGGCUUCCAUUCUCUCUCAGAGAGUAGAGCUUACUGUAAAGAACACAGUCUCUCUUCAUACCUAAUGGUGGGGAUGUUAUUUUAACUGCCAGCAAUAUCCAAGACCUGGUGAAUAACCAGUGAUAAAUACUUUAGAAAAAAUGACUGGGACAUUUACAGAAAUAGUCUGAUUACCUGUGUUUUUGUUUUGAUUACUCUAGAGUGUCUAGUUGUUUUUUCUCUUUUGAGUGAGUAAUCUUUCAGUGUCUAGAAUGAAUAUACACAUAAAUGAGUGUUUUGGGGUUCAUUGCUGCUAGAUUAUAAAAUAUCAGCUGUUUACAGUAGUAUCUGCUAUAUACUGUGUAUAAGUUUACUCCUAAGGAUAGUUAUAUUUUUUGUAGGUUUUUUCCCCUUUGAAUCUGGUUCUUAUUUCAGUUUUUCUGCUGCAGCAACUAAAUUUGAAAGUACAAGGUCUCUAGCCGUCAUAGCAUCGUAUUUCUGGCUAAUUAGUGACUGCUGCCUCUGCAAGUCCUGGUGGAAACAGUGGUGCAUUUUGCUGGCUGACUUUAUAGUCUUGGUAAUUCGUAUCUGUGUUUAGCCGAGUGACUUAUUUAGAACUGUAAAAUUUUUAUAAAUUUUAAAUUUGAAAAUUUAUCUUGCAUCUACGCAGUUAUCUAAUAAUGGGCCACUGAGGCUGUUGUUUAAGCCGUAUUUUGAAGUUAUAAAAAGAACAUCUGUCUGAUGAUGUUCACAUAAAGAGACAGACUAUUUUCUUUCAGAUUUGAAAACAGUGUAAGUCAGGGUUUUCCUUCUCUUCCAUGCCAGAGGCUGCCCAUCUCUCUUCCACAAGAUCAGCUUGUAAGGAGGGAGCCCCUGACUGAUUCAGCCAUAGCUUGGCCAAUCAGAGAAUAGUAUGGUCAGGAGCUUUACUUCAUUUAAAUCCUUGUUAUUUGUCUUCUGAGCUGCACGGCUUAAACUUAUAUCCCUAAAAGGCAGUUUCAUCUUCCAGACUAGUUUAUUUUCUCUGUAUUAAAAAUACAAUAACUUAUAAACUAUUACAAAAGUCAUAAAGUCACUGUAAUUAUAGUGCUAUGUACUUGUGGGUUUUCUGUGUUUGUACCACUUUGAAAUUUGUCUAGUGAAAAGAAAAUGUUUCUCUAUUCGUGUUUUUAAGCAUCUGAAAAAUUAUUUUUAUUUUCAGUUUGUGAGAGAGAAUAAGAUUAAGAACUUAAUUGUUUAGUGGCUUUCCUCUAACUCUGUGAAACUGCUACCUCUUAUUAUGUUUCUACUCUACUUUCCCAAUCAGGGUAUUUCCUUGUCAUUAUCAUUUCUUUAUCUUGUGCCUCAAGAGAGCUUUUGCUUUUCCUAGAAUCAUUAAGAAAAACUAAAACCAACAUGAAUUCAUUCAAAAAUGUUUAUUGGGCUUCAGGGGCAAGAUACACAAUGGUGAAAAAAAUUGUCAGCUUCUUAGUACAUACAGAAUUUAUCAUGCAGCCAUUGUAUAUUUGAAGUAUUCCCUUAAAAAAAGAAGGGAUAUAAAGAUACUGAUAACAUUUCUUCCUAAUGUUUAGAAAGUCGUCAUUAAGUAGUAUUUGGAUUUCUUCUCUGAACCCCCUUACUCUUACCACAUUUUUUUUUUAUUCUAACAUUGUCAGCUUUGUUACCCAAAACUUACACACAACUUACCAGAUGGUGCUAUUCUAAUAGUUUUUCUUCACAUAAUUUAACAUUCUUACUGUUUAUACGUAUUUAAUUUUGUUGGGAGCAAGAAAGUUUUUCAAGAGAUCAUUUUGUAUUAGUAUAGGAAUAUUAUAUUACACAAGUGUUUUAGUUUAGCUGGCCAAAUUAUGCUUGAUUAUUUGUAAUUUUAAACAUUGCAGAUUGACCAUCUAGCUACUGAGGCAUAAAAUUAAUUGAUAAUGUUGAAAAUAACUUUCUUAAAUUUAUAUCUUUGAUGGCUUUAGCCUAUAAGAGCAUUCUAGCAUAUUGCAAUGCAUGCUGCUUAAGAUUUGUCCAAUUCAAAUGUCAAAGCUUGCUAGGUCAUUUUUACAUGGUAGAAAUAGACUGUGUAGAAGUACUCUUGUGUUGUAGAGUUAUGUGUUGCCCCAUUGCUGUUCUUUGUUUAUUGUGAGUUUUGGACCCUUUUGGACUAAGAAUUAUUUAAACUUAUGAACUAGGACAGUUGGUGAUGGAGUUGGAUAGGGAGGACGGUAGGGGUUGUAGCAAGCAAGAAAGAAAAGUCAGUUUUUGAGUUUAGAGAAAAAUGGGAAUCAUGUAGAUUUUGUCAAAACAGUAAGUGUAAAGAAUAUAUUCAAUUGAAUAAAGGGUCUUUCAGCUAGUUUUUAAUGUAGUUUAAUUGACAAUUGCUUUGGAAAUUAUAGACUUUAAUACAGUUUGUUUAAAAAAAAAUCCGAAAGGAAAAGCACUUAUCCUCUUAGUGUCUAAAAUAUUUAUAGGAAUAAUUUGUGUAAAAAUUGAAUUUCGGAAUAGAAUUUUUUCCGUUUUUAAAAUUAUGGUUAAAAGCACCCAUGAAAUUUACCAUCCUAACAAGUUUUAAGCACACAGUUCAGUAGUGUUAAGUAUAUUCACAUUGUUGUGAAACAGAUCUCCAGAACUUUUUCAUUUUGCAGAAUUGAAACUCUGUACCCAUUAAGCAACAAUCCCCCUCUCCCUCCUCUAGUGGAAUAGAAUUUUGAUUAAAUAUAAAUCAAGAAACACCUGAAUUAUCUUAAGAGUUUCUUAGUGUUUGCAAGAUCUAAAGUGAUGGUAAAUAUUGAAUUUGGGGAAGAUAGAAUUUUUCCCCUCCCUCCCAAUUAUCAUCCGUUGUAAUUGAGUAGGUUUUAAAUAUCUGUUAAUUGGAAGGAUUUGUUAUUUCAUUUUGAGCUAGAGGGGAAAAACACAUUUUAAACAUUAGAAUUAGGUUAGCUUUGAAUUUGUACUAAAUUGGGAAGGUAAUAGAUUUUCACAAAUUUUGUGUGCCUUGUUGUUGAAAAUGUCAGUUUUCUUUGUCUACUUGUAACUGUUUCAAAAUAUAUUUUUCUCUCAGAAAGGCAACCUAAUUUUUGCUUGAAUAUUAUGAUAGGAAUGCUUACUGAUAUUACUUGAUAAUCAUGUAUAGCCUUGGAACUUUAACAUAUAUAAAACUAUAACAGUAUUAAUAAUUACAGUUGUACUUCUUUAAAACAUUAAAUUUGAGGAAAAACUAUUUAAUGCUGUCUCAUGUAUACAUUGCUUUGCUAUAGUGAGGAGGGAAAUUUCUUAGAUUGAGCCUCAAUUUGCUGAUAAAUGUUUUGUGUGGGUGAAACUAGAGUAUAAAAAUAUGAACUAGAUAGUAGAACUGGUGAAUUAAAAUUGUAAGUUGCUACAUUGGCAUUUUCUACCUCCUUUUCUGUCAGAGUAUUAGUUUUUCAGCAUUUAUUCAUAUUUGUGACUAAGGAGGAGAUGGAAACCUGAGGUUAAAAUUGAGAUGUUUAUUUUGUUGAGGAAGCAAUAGGUACAAGAAAGGUGACUUGCCACAUCAAUUUGGUGCCUAAAUCCAUAACUACAAGUUACAGAUGACACAAAAUGUGUAAGAAAGAUAAUAUUGCUGAAUAUUUUACUUUUCUUGUGCAGCCUAUUUGAUUUUGUUUCAUAAACAUGACUUCUUUCCUCCAAAAAGCAAAAUGGUUUUGUAAUUUUCUGUAGAAUAAAGAAAUGUGCCAUUUUGUCUGAAAUUUUAGGACACUAUCAAAAGUUCUGACUCAGGGCUUUUUAACAGUUUAAGCAAUUGUCAGUUAUAGUUUGGAAAAUCCAUCUGCAUAAUUCUUCAGUGCCUUGAAAGAAUUAUUAACUUGGCAACACUACUACAGCUUUAUAGAAGGUGGUCUUUUACUGUGCGUAUAUCAUCAUAUACACAUUCACAAGUUGUACUUCUUAGCUCAUGUGAUAGCGAUACUGCUUGUGUGCUGGGUUUGGGUAAUUCUUUAAAGGAAGCUUUCUCAGAUUUGCACUUAAUAAUUUGUUUUCUUUUAAAUUGUUUAUGGCCAUGACACUGUUACCAGAAAAGUACUUCUGUGUUAAGUCAUUAUGCAAAGUCAUGUAUAAGUAGCACCUAGGAAGAGGAGCCAGAGUUCAUACAGUUUGCUGUUUUAGUAUAAAAGGAGAAUCUGUUUGGAAAACAGGUUGUCUUCUCCUCAAAUGAAAAGAAGACCUUUUGUUCAAGUGAUUCGGUUAAAAAAAAUUUUUUUUUAAAGAAAUUUAUGAAUUGCAUGACACAACGCUGGUCUUACUUAGACUGAAUCCACAAAAUUGAUUUUCUUUUCAGUAUGCUUGUAUCAUUCUAAAUACAUUAUAUUUAGUGAUAGAAGACGGUUUAAUCGACUCAUAGCAGUGUUUUGCUUUGUAUUUUUUCCAGUGUUUUUUAGCUUUCACUUGAUUAAAGUCUUGUUUGUGAAUAUAGUUUUUGUAUGGCAAAUGACUCUUGUUUAUUAGCUUUUGCUUUAAAGAUGCUUAGCAAGAGCUAAGCUUUUAAAAAUGAAUGCAAACAUUUACCAUUAAUAAAGCCUAUGAUAUAAUAUCAUUAUAUAAUGCUUUUCUCUGAUCUUUUGAAACUGUUCUUUAUAGAUGUAUACAUGAAUUUUAAUUCUUGUGGCAUUUGAAAACAAAUCUCAGUACAUCAAAUCUUUUAUUAUUGGGAAGGAUAUUAUCAUGUCUUUGAGAAACAAGGAAAUACAUCUCCAACUCUAUACAAGACACCAGUGCCCACAUCUAGAAGGCUCUCAUUGGAAUUGUUUACAUUCAAGAGCACCAACUAAUAUCUUGAAUGGAACACUGACAUACAGUUUGGGAAAAGCUUUUAUAGGUAAAAUGGUGAUGAUGCUGCUUUAUUCAUAAGGUUGCUGGAGGAUCAUGGAGAGACCUUGUCGUUUAUGAGUGAAAUUCCAGUGUUGGUUAUUAACAGAGGCUUCAGGGUGACCUACAAAUUAGCACAAACUUUGGGAAAUAAAUGAGGAAUUGCACCGCCAGUGGGUUACUUCAAUCAAAGUGAGAUGAUAGAAAAAAAAUGCAGACAGCAGGAAAAGAUGUUUGAAGGAACGCAAAUCCCCAACUGAGAGAGUGUCUCAUGGGAACACAGAUGUGCACACUGCACCUCCAGCACUGAGAUGCUCUCCUUCGCGUCAUAGAAAGCCCUGCUUCUUCCUCUUUCUGAAUCCGAGCAUCCUUCAAGGUUCUAGUGCAAGUUCUUCCCCAGUGAGGCCAUCAUGGGCCAAACUAACUCAUGGAGCUCUUGGUACAACACUCAGGACAUAAACUCAGACUCGACUCCAUGGAGCCAUUAUGGAUUUGCUGUCUGCUUCCCCUUUCCAGACUCGACUCCAUGGAGCAGCCACAUCUCUGUUGUUCAGAUGUUACACCAUCGCCCAGCACCGUGCUUGGCACAUAACAGAUGCUCAAUAAACCUUUGUUGGGUCUUUCUUAUCCACUAGCCCAACAGCUUCCAAACGGGAAUUGAGCAU